UACGAAGGUGGCAAGCGUUACUCGGAAUUACUAGGCGUAAAGGGCAGGUAGGUGGUUUGGUAAGUCUGUUGUGAAAGCUCCUUGCUUAACGGGGAGAGGUCAACAGAUACUGCCAGGCUUGAGUAUAGGAGAGGGUACUGGAAUUCCCGGUGUAGCGGUGAAAUGCGCAGAGAUCGGGAGGAACACCAAUGGCGAAAGCAGGUACCUGGACUAUUACUGACACUCAGCUGCGAAAGCUAGGGGAGCAAACAGG
rnacentral:rRNA from 1 species